CAUGGCAACCAGAGGACAGCUAACAGGAGUCUGUUCUCCCCUUCUGCUAUUUCAGGUUCCGGGAAUCAGGUCUGUAGGUGAGCACCCUUACCCACUGUACCAUCCCACCAGCUUUUGCUUCUAUUUUUUUUUUAAGUGAUGGAAAGCUGGAUUACGCAACCCGUUACUCUUUUCUCUCAAAGGCCUCUAUUCACAUGCCUUUAUCAAAUGUGUCAUGGGAAAGGCUUCAGGAAGUUGGCAAACUCCGGGGAGCAGCCCCUGGUUCCCCUGAGGUGGAACAGUUAGAAUGGAAAGGUGGCAUAGCACCAGGAAGAACUCGGGACAAAGCCUUUCUGUGAAGACCUCGUUCUAAACACACAAACCCGGAGCCUCAAAGAAUGAGCAGAUCUGCAAGGCUGCAGUUUGAUUUAGUAAGUGCAUUCCAGAAUUACAAAUACAAUGGGUGAUUAAAAGAAACCAACCAGGUUUCUACAAGAAGUCUAGCACACACAGUUCUUUGUGCCUAAUCCACAUGAAACUUCACUAUGACAAAGCCAUCUGACUGACAGCACUCAGGCUCCCCUCCUCUUUAGAACAGCCAUUGGAGCAAUCAAGAAACCACCCAUCGUGAUUUCUUAAGAGAAGUAUAGCUUCUUGUUUUUAAAACACUCACUCACGUGAACAGAUGACUUUUUGCACUUGCAGGGAAAUGGUCACCGGAUUGCCCGACACAGCUGGAGGAAGACGCUCCCAGCAGUGACCCACUAGCUCCGACACAGAUGUGGAGCAAGUACUUAAGGAGCAUUAAAAAGUCCUGUGUGAUUAAAUUAGUCCAAAUUGGAACCCAAAACACUGUCUAUGGAUUAUAUCUUUGCCUGCAUCUUCUCUGGAGAAACAAUGUCUUUCUCUUUAGAAGCCAGCUCUCAGAGAGUAGGCUAAUUAAAGUAAGUUUUGGAUCGGUUUAUACAGCUCUGCCUAGGGUUGUUCUGGCUUGAUUACUUUAAAAUCUCAAGUCUUAGAAAAUUUCCUGAAUCUUGGUUAAACUGGGAGCAUUAUGAAGUCUACUUUUCGUAGCCACAAAUUCCCUUUAGACACACCCUACAAGAGACUUAGCUUUCACCAGGUUCUAAUCUCCACUGUGAGUUAAAGUCAGCGUCCCCAUAUCCUUUUCCUACUCUGUCUUCGUCAACAGUAGUUCAUUUCAUUGUCUCUUCUACCCCAUAGCUCUGGGUAUUCAGAGACUCACAGUCCACUUCAUACUUCCCCAGUCUCUCCUCUCUCCUCUGAGUUAAGUUGACCCACCCCUUCACCUGCUCCUCAAAUGUUCUUCCUAUUAACACCCUCAUUAAGCCCUCUGGGCAGGCUCAUCUGACUAGAUCCCCCAAGUAACACACAAGUUGAGCUCAUACCUCUGCGCACUGCUGGACAAAGUCCACGAGCUCCAUGCCAUGCUCCAUAGCAGGUUCUCCUGUGGACAGACUGACAUUUCUUUAGCUCACUUGGCUGCUACCUCCCACGGUUGGCUAAUAAUAAUUCAUGUCAACAGAGAGGCAUGGAGAAUUUUUACACAUGCUGUUAUUGGAAGUUCUACUCUCCCAAGAUUGUGCAACUGGCCUUUAGAUCCAAAUACCACACAUUGAUCAUUUAAAGUGAACCCAUUAUUCCAACCCAUGACUCCAGCUUUGGAUCAUAAUUCCAUCACCUAAAUUAUUCACUCCAGCAGCUCUGUUCCAGGUUCAUGUAGUCUGCAAAUGUUUUCAACAUGUCAACAUCUGUAGUCAUUCAAGUAAUUGGCAGAACUGUUGACCGGGUCAGGAUUGGAAACCAGAAGAUUAGCCAGUGAUCACUGCUUCUGCACAAAAUCAGAUUUUGGAAGAGAACCUGAAAUUUGGAAGUACAAAUACAUUGUAGUAAUACUUCAUUUUCAACCACAACUUCCGUAAAACAGCUGCAGAUCCAGAAGAACAUCCCUGGGAGUCAAGCAGAGAACUGAAUGGGAACCGUCUAUGCAGUGUACCUGUGUUCCUGGUUCCUCUUUGAAUGACGCCGAGACUGGAGAGGGAGAGAGAGAAAGUACAUCCACAAAUACGAAAGUAAGGACUGAACUGAAUCAGGUGAAAACGUAAGUUUGAAGGCUGAGAUAAUUAGCGAUGAGGUGUGGCACUGAAGAAAGCGGUUCAGAUUGCGUGGGAGUCCAGUAGAGGACAGCUGGGCAUGAACUUUUCUGUUCUCGGCAAACAUUUCCCUCCCAUUAAACCGAAGGGCCCGCAGGAUUAGACAAUUUACCGAAGGGGAGUCUAGAUAAUGGCUCUCCAGAUAGGUUGACACUUCUCUUUUAAAACUGUAAUAAA